ensembl:lncRNA
AUGAAUUCUCUCCUUUAAAGCAACCAGUGAAUUUUCCUCCAUCAAUGCUGUUGAUAAUUAAUUAAUAAUAACAGCAAACCUCUUGUGACUCUCCAUUAACUAAGGAGCUGACGCUAGAUGGUAGUUUGCGUAGCAUAAAGACUGGAGAUGGGUAAAUGGACUGGUUCUCAUAUAGUGCUUUUUUACUUGAGUACUCAAAGUACUUUAAACACCAUUCACACACACAUUCAUACAAACACUUUUUUAGGGAUUGAACCACCUACCGCCUGUCUAGUGAUGACAUGCUCUAACUCCUGAGCCACCUACCUGAGUAGGUUGUUACACAUAAUAAACCAAAUCCAUGAACAAAUUAUGUCUGAAAAUGACCAGUGGCUGCUAAUUUGUUUGCCAGGAAUAUCGAUGAUUUUUGUAAUUUCAGUGUUUCUUUUUCAGCUUUGGAGUCUUCAGUUAGUAUAGAGAAGGUACAAAGCAGUUUUAAACCACACAAGUUCAGUUUAACUGGACUCUGUUCUUCUGUUAGAUGUAUUCCUAAUAGAGAGAGCUUCCAUUCUAUAGUAUGCUGAGCUUUCCUAAAGUAACUAGCUACAUUAUCAUUGGAAUAAAAUGCAUUCCUGUUAACAAUUAUAAAUGAAAAGAACCCAAAUAAGUCAUACAUGAAAACUCCUAUCCAUUAUUCAGUGAGAAAAACAGAUGUGGUAACAUAUCCAUACACAGUUUUUGGUUACCUUGGCACAUACCUGCAGUUUCCCAAACAUGAUGUUUAUUUCUUCUUUAAAAAGGGACUAAAAAAUUGUGUAUAUGUUUUUGAACCCUGACUUUGUUUUGUACAUUAUCUUAUCUUUAAGCCUAGAUUUGAUGUGAUUAGAUUUAUUGCUGUUCCCUGGUUAGAUGCCCAGGUUAUGAACAAUGUGAUGGUGUAAUAAACAGUUUGCUAGAGUUCUGCAAAUACUUGUAAUCGUGGCUGUUCAUAAGUAUUUUUCUAGAAAAGCUUCUAGUGUACAAAUCACUGACUGUGCUGGGGUGAAAAUAAUUCUCUGCGUUUCUGUGUAUCAACUACAGAACAUUUGGUUCUUGUUAUGUAUGCCUGUUAGCUAUUUCUGUGGCCAAAUAUGUGUCUGGUUGCAUCUCUGACCACACCCAACAGAGAUGUCAUAAUGUAGCAAUGAUUUAGCUACAACCGUAUACAUCACUGCUAUAAAACUCUCCUCUACUAAACCUUUAUUGAUUUGUUUUUGAAUAUUAUUCUUUUGCUUUGCUUGUCUUGUUUUACACUCUUUGUAAAUUACUUUAACUGUGUGAGACUUGUGUCUCAUUGAUUCCUUACCUUAAAUAUUAAAAGACUGCUGUCUGGAAAUGUGUG